rnacentral:rRNA from 1 species
GACAGAGGGUGCAAACGUUGUUCGGAAUUACUGGGCGUAAAGCGCGUGUAGGCGGCCAUGCAAGUCGGAUGUGAAAGCCCUCGGCUCAACCGGGGAAGUGCACUCGAAACUGCAAGGCUAGAGUCUCGGAGAGGAUCGUGGAAUUCUCGGUGUAGAGGUGAAAUUCGUAGAUAUCGAGAGGAACACCGGUGGCGAAGGCGGGUCUCUGGGCCGAUACUGACGCUGAGGAGCGAAAGCGUGGGGAGCAAACAGG